rnacentral:rRNA from 1 species
UAUUAACUCUGGCGGCGUGCCUAAUACAUGCAAGUCGAGCGAACAGACGAGGAGCUUGCUCCUCUGACGUUAGCGGCGGACGGGUGAGUAACACGUGGAUAACCUACCUAUAAGACUGGGAUAACUUCGGGAAACCGGAGCUAAUACCGGAUAAUAUAUUGAACCGCAUGGUUCAAUAGUGAAAGACGGUUUUGCUGUCACUUAUAGAUGGAUCCGCGCCGCAUUAGCUAGUUGGUAAGGUAACGGCUUACCAAGGCGACGAUGCGUAGCCGACCUGAGAGGGUGAUCGGCCACACUGGAACUGAGACACGGUCCAGACUCCUACGGGAGGCAGCAGUAGGGAAUCUUCCGCAAUGGGCGAAAGCCUGACGGAGCAACGCCGCGUGAGUGAUGAAGGUCUUCGGAUCGUAAAACUCUGUUAUUAGGGAAGAACAAAUGUGUAAGUAACUAUGCACGUCUUGACGGUACCUAAUCAGAAAGCCACGGCUAACUACGUG